rnacentral:rRNA from 1 species
GAUGAACGCUGGCGGCGUGCCUAAUACAUGCAAGUCGAGCGAACGGACGAGAAGCUUGCUUCUCUGAUGUUAGCGGCGGACGGGUGAGUAACACGUGGAUAACCUACCUAUAAGACUGGGAUAACUUCGGGAAACCGGAGCUAAUACCGGAUGAUAUUUUGAACCGCAUGGUUCAAAAGUGAAAGACGGUCUUGCUGUCACUUAUAGAUGGAUCCGCGCUGCAUUAGCUAGUUGGUAAGGUAACGGCUUACCAAGGCAACGAUGCAUAGCCGACCUGAGAGGGUGAUCGGCCACACUGGAACUGAGACACGGUCCAGACUCCUACGGGAGGCAGCAGUAGGGAAUCUUCCGCAAUGGGCGAAAGCCUGACGGAGCAACGCCGCGUGAGUGAUGAAGGUCUUCGGAUCGUAAAACUCUGUUAUUAGGGAAGAAUAUAUGUGUAAGUAACUGUGAACAUCUUGACGGUACCUAAUCAGAAAGCCACGGCUAACUACGUG